UACGUAGGGUGCGAGCGUUGUCCGGAAUUAUUGGGCGUAAAGAGCUCGUAGGCGGUCCGUCACGUCGGAUGUGAAAUUCCAGGGCUCAACCCUGGACCUGCAUUCGAUACGGGCGGACUAGAGUUCGGUAGGGGAGACUGGAAUUCCUGGUGUAGCGGUGAAAUUCGUAGAUAUCGGGAGGAACACCAGUGGCGAAGGCGGCGAUCUGGGAAGAUACUGACGCUGAGGUGCGAAAGCGUGGGGAGCAAACAGG
rnacentral:rRNA from 1 species